GGACUACUGGGGUUUCUAAUCCUGUUUGCUCCCCACGCUUUCGCGUCUCAGCGUCAGUAUCGGUCCAGGUAGCCGCCUUCGCCACCGGUGUUCCUCCGAAUAUCUACGGAUUUCACCCCUACACUCGGAAUUCCACUACCCUCUCCCGUACUCAAGUCUGCCAGUUUCCAAUGCACUUCCCGGGUUGAGCCCGGGGCUUUCACAUCAGACUUAACAGACCGCCUACACGCGCUUUACGCCCAAUAAUUCCGAACAACGCUUGCACCCUCCGUAUUACCGCGGCUGCUGGCACC
rnacentral:misc_RNA from 1 species